rnacentral:rRNA from 1 species
UUAAGCGACUAAGCGUACACGGUGGAUGCCCUGGCAGUCAGAGGCGAUGAAGGACGUGCUAAUCUGCGAAAAGCGCCGGCGAGGUGAUAUGAACCUUUGACCCGGCGAUGUCCGAAUGGGGAAACCCAGUGCAAUCCGUUGCACUAUCGUUAACUGAAUACAUAGGUUAACGAGGCGAACCGGGGGAACUGAAACAUCUAAGUACCCCGAGGAAAAGAAAUCAACCGAGAUUCCCCCAGUAGCGGCGAGCGAACGGGGAGCAGCCCGGAGUCUGAAUCAGCUUGUGUGUUAGUGGAACGGUCUGGAAAGUCCGACGGUACAGGGUGAUAGUCCCGUACACGAAAGCACACAUGCUGUGAACUCGAAGAGUAGGGCGGGACACGUGGUAUCCUGUCUGAAUAUGGGGGGACCAUCCUCCAAGGCUAAAUACUCCUGACUGACCGAUAGUGAACCAGUACCGUGAGGGAAAGGCGAAAAGAACCCCGGCGAGGGGAGUGAAAAAGAACCUGAAACCGUGUACGUACAAGCAGUGGGAGCCUCUUUAUGGGGUGACUGCGUACCUUUUGUAUAAUGGGUCAGCGACUUAUAUUCUGUAGCAAGGUUAACCGUAUAGGGGAGCCGAAGGGAAACCGAGUCUUAACUGGGCGUUAAGUUGCAGGGUAUAGACCCGAAACCCGGUGAUCUAGCCAUGGGCAGGUUGAAGGUUGGGUAACACUAACUGGAGGACCGAACCGACUAAUGUUGAAAAAUUAGCGGAUGACCUGUGGCUGGGGGUGAAAGGCCAAUCAAACCGGGAGAUAGCUGGUUCUCCCCGAAAGCUAUUUAGGUAGCGCCUCGUGAACUCAUCUUCGGGGGUAGAGCACUGUUUCGGCUAGGGGGCCAUCCCGGCUUACCAACCCGAUGCAAACUACGAAUACCGAAGAAUGUUAUCACGGGAGACACACGGCGGGUGCUAACGUCCGUCGUGAAGAGGGAAACAACCCAGACCGCCAGCUAAGGUCCCAAAGUCAUGGUUAAGUGGGAAACGAUGUGGGAAGGCACAGACAGCCAGGAUGUUGGCUUAGAAGCAGCCAUCAUUUAAAGAAAGCGUAAUAGCUCACUGGUCGAGUCGGCCUGCGCGGAAGAUGUAACGGGGCUAAACCAUGCACCGAAGCUGCGGCAGCGACACUAUGUGUUGUUGGGUAGGGGAGCGUUCUGUAAGCCGUUGAAGGUGUGCUGUGAGGCAUGCUGGAGGUAUCAGAAGUGCGAAUGCUGACAUAAGUAACGAUAAAGCGGGUGAAAAGCCCGCUCGCCGGAAGACCAAGGGUUCCUGUCCAACGUUAAUCGGGGCAGGGUGAGUCGACCCCUAAGGCGAGGCCGAAAGGCGUAGUCGAUGGGAAACAGGUUAAUAUUCCUGUACUUGGUGUUACUGCGAAGGGGGGACGGAGAAGGCUAUGUCAGCCGGGCGACGGUUGUCCCGGUUUAAGCAUGUAGGCGGAGGUUCCAGGUAAAUCCGGUACCUUGUUAACGCUGAGGUGUGAUGACGAGGCACUACGGUGCUGAAGUGAUAAAUGCCCUGCUUCCAGGAAAAGCCUCUAAGCAUCAGGUAACACGAAAUCGUACCCCAAACCGACACAGGUGGUCAGGUAGAGAAUACCAAGGCGCUUGAGAGAACUCGGGUGAAGGAACUAGGCAAAAUGGUGCCGUAACUUCGGGAGAAGGCACGCUGAUGUGUAGGUGAAGUCCCUGCGGACGGAGCUGAAAUCAGUCGAAGAUACCAGCUGGCUGCAACUGUUUAUUAAAAACACAGCACUGUGCAAACACGAAAGUGGACGUAUACGGUGUGACGCCUGCCCGGUGCCGGAAGGUUAAUUGAUGGGGUUAGCGGCAACGCGAAGCUCUUGAUCGAAGCCCCGGUAAACGGCGGCCGUAACUAUAACGGUCCUAAGGUAGCGAAAUUCCUUGUCGGGUAAGUUCCGACCUGCACGAAUGGCGUAAUGAUGGCCAGGCUGUCUCCACCCGAGACUCAGUGAAAUUGAACUCGCUGUGAAGAUGCAGUGUACCCGCGGCAAGACGGAAAGACCCCGUGAACCUUUACUAUAGCUUGACACUGAACACUGGUCCUUGAUGUGUAGGAUAGGUGGGAGGCUUUGAAGCGUGGACGCCAGUCUGCGUGGAGCCAACCUUGAAAUACCACCCUUUAAUGGCUGGUGUUCUAACGUAGACCCGUAAUCCGGGUUGCGGACAGUGUCUGGUGGGUAGUUUGACUGGGGCGGUCUCCUCCCAAAGAGUAACGGAGGAGCACGAAGGUUGGCUAAUCCUGGUCGGACAUCAGGAGGUUAGUGCAAUGGCAUAAGCCAGCUUGACUGCGAGCGUGACGGCGCGAGCAGGUGCGAAAGCAGGUCAUAGUGAUCCGGUGGUUCUGAAUGGAAGGGCCAUCGCUCAACGGAUAAAAGGUACUCCGGGGAUAACAGGCUGAUACCGCCCAAGAGUUCAUAUCGACGGCGGUGUUUGGCACCUCGAUGUCGGCUCAUCACAUCCUGGGGCUGAAGUAGGUCCCAAGGGUAUGGCUGUUCGCCAUUUAAAGUGGUACGCGAGCUGGGUUUAGAACGUCGUGAGACAGUUCGGUCCCUAUCUGCCGUGGGCGCUGGAGAAUUGAGGGGGGCUGCUCCUAGUACGAGAGGACCGGAGUGGACGCAUCACUGGUGUUCGGGUUGUCAUGCCAAUGGCACUGCCCGGUAGCUAAAUGCGGAAAAGAUAAGUGCUGAAAGCAUCUAAGCACGAAACUUGCCCCGAGAUGAGUUCUCCCUGAGACCUUGAGUCUCCUGAAGGAACGUUGAAGACGACGACGUUGAUAGGUCGGGUGUGUAAGCGCAGCGAUGCGUUGAGCUAACCGAUACUAAUGAACCGUGAGGCUUAACCUU